rnacentral:rRNA from 1 species
UACGAAGGGGGGCUAGCGCUGUUCGGAAUCACUGGGCGUAAAGGGCGCGUAGGCGGCUUUAUAAGUCGGGGGGUGAAAGCCUGUGGCUCAACCACAGAAUUGCCUUCGAUACUGUAGAGCUUGAGACCGGAAGAGGUAAGUGGAACUGCGAGUGUAGAGGUGAAAUUCGUAGAUAUUCGCAAGAACACCAGUGGCGAAGGCGGCUCACUGGCCCCGAUACUGACGCUGAGGCACGAAAGCGUGGGGAGCAAACAGGG